AUUGAACGCUGGCGGCAUGCUUUACACAUGCAAGUCGAACGGUAACAGGCCUUCGGGUGCUGACGAGUGGCGAACGGGUGAGUAAUGCAUCGGAACGUACCCAGAGGUGGGGGAUAACGCAGCGAAAGCUGUGCUAAUACCGCAUGUGAUCUGAGGAUGAAAGCGGGGGACCGAGCAGCAAUGUUUGGCCUCGCGCCUUUGGAGCGGCCGAUGUCGGAUUAGCUAGUUGGUGGGGUAAAGGCCUACCAAGGCGACGAUCCGUAGCUGGUCUGAGAGGACGACCAGCCACACUGGGACUGAGACACGGCCCAGACUCCUACGGGAGGCAGCAGUGGGGAAUUUUGGACAAUGGGCGCGAGCCUGAUCCAGCAAUGCCGCGUGCGGGAAGAAGGCCUUCGGGUUGUAAACCGCUUUUGGCAGGAACGAAACGGUGUCCGCUAAUACCGGGCGCUAAUGACGGUACCCGCAGAAUAAGCACCGGCUAACUACGUG
rnacentral:rRNA from 1 species